rnacentral:rRNA from 1 species
GAUGAACGCUAGCUACAGGCUUAACACAUGCAAGUCGAGGGGUAACGAGAGGAAAGCUUGCUUUCCUUGUCGACGACCGGCGCAAGGGUGAGUAACGCGUAUCCAACCUGCCCCCAACUAAGGAAUAACCUUGCGAAAGUAAGACUAAUACCUUAUAAUUUCCUCAGAUGACAUCUUACGAGGAAUAAAGAUUUAUCGGUUGUGGAUGGGGAUGCGUCUGAUUAGCUUGUUGGCGGGGUAACGGCCCACCAAGGCAACGAUUAGUAGGGGUUCUGAGAGGAAGGUCCCCCACAUUGGAACUGAGACACGGUCCAAACUCCUACGGGAGGCAGCAGUGAGGAAUAUUGGUCAAUGGGCGGAAGCCUGAACCAGCCAAGUAGCGUGCAGGAUGACGGCCCUAUGGGUUGUAAACUGCUUUUAUACAGGAAUAAAGUUAGCCACGUGUGGUUAUUUGUAGGUACUGUAUGAAUAAGGACCGGCUAAUUCCGUGCCAGCCGCCGCCGUAA